ACCAGGAUAGCCGAGUGGUUAAGGCGUUGGACUUAAAAUCCAAUAGACAUUUGUCUGUGCGGGUUUGAACCCAGCUCCUGGUA
rfam:Pelodiscus sinensis unplaced genomic scaffold scaffold3468, whole genome shotgun sequence.